UACGAAGGGGGCUAGCGUUGUUCGGAAUCACUGGGCGUAAAGCGCACGUAGGCGGAUUGUUAAGUCAGGGGUGAAAUCCUGGAGCUCAACUCCAGAACUGCCUUUGAUACUGGCGAUCUCGAGUCCGGGAGAGGUGAGUGGAACUGCGAGUGUAGAGGUGAAAUUCGUAGAUAUUCGCAAGAACACCAGUGGCGAAGGCGGCUCACUGGCCCGGUACUGACGCUGAGGUGCGAAAGCGUGGGGAGCGAACAGG
rnacentral:rRNA from 1 species